rnacentral:rRNA from 1 species
AAAACUUUCAACAACGGAUCUCUUGGUUCUGGCAUCGAUGAAGAACGCAGCGAAAUGCGAUAAGUAAUGUGAAUUGCAGAAUUCAGUGAACCAUCGAAUCUUUGAACGCACAUUGCACCCCUCGGUAUCCCGGGGGGUAUACCUGUUCGAGCGUCAUUG